rnacentral:rRNA from 1 species
GACGAACGCUGGCGGCGUGCCUAAUACAUGCAAGUCGAACGCUUCUUUCCUCCCGAGUGCUUGCCCUCAAUUGGAAAGAGGAGUGGCGGACGGGUGAGUAACACGUGUGUAACCUACCCAUCAGAGGGGGAUAACACUUGGAAACAGGUGCUAAUACCGCAUAACAGUUUAUGCCGCAUGGCAUAAGAGUGAAAGGCGCUUUCGGGUGUCGCUGAUGGAUGGACCCGCGGUGCAUUAGCUAGUUGGUGAGGUAACGGCUCACCAAGGCCACGAUGCAUAGCCGACCUGAGAGGGUGAUCGGCCACACUGGGACUGAGACACGGCCCAGACUCCUACGGGAGGCAGCAGUAGGGAAUCUUCGGCAAUGGACGAAAGUCUGACCGAGCAACGCCGCGUGAGUGAAGAAGGUGUUCGGAUCGUAAAACUCUGUUGUUAGAGAAGAACAAGGACGUUAGUAACUGAACGUCCCCUGACGGUAUCUAACCAGAAAGCCACGGCUAACUACGUG